rnacentral:rRNA from 1 species
AAUAGAUACCCUGGUAGUCCACGCCGUAAACGAUGGAUACUAGCUGUUUGAGCGCAAGUUUGAGUGGCUAAGCGAAAGUGAUAAGUAUCCCACCUGGGGAGUACGGGCGCAAGCCUGAAACUCAAAGGAAUUGACGGGGGCCCGCACAAGCGGUGGAGCAUGUGGUUUAAUUCGAUGAUACGCGAGGAACCUUACCAGGGCUUAAAUGUAGAUUGACGUAUUUGGAAACAGAUAUUUCUUCGGACAAUUUACAAGAUGCUGCAUGGUUGUCGUCAGCUCGUGCCGUGAGGUGUCAGGUUAAGUCCUAUAACGAGCGCAACCCCUGUUGUUAGUUGCCAGCGAGUAAUGUCGGGAACUCUAGCAAGACUGCCAGUGUAAACUGUGAGGAAGGUGGGGAUGACGUCAAAUCAUCACGGCCCUUACGUCCUGGGCCACACACGUGCUACAAUGGCCGGUACAGAGAGCAGCCACUUAGCGAUAAGGAGCGAAUCUAUAAAGCCGGUCACAGUUCGGAUCGGAGU